rnacentral:rRNA from 1 species
GACGAACGCUGGCGGCGUGCCUAAUACAUGCAAGUCGAACGAACCGCGACUAGGUGCUUGCACUUGGUCAAGGUGAGUGGCGAACGGGUGAGUAACACGUGGGUAACCUACCUCAUAGUGGGGGAUAACAGUCGGAAACGACUGCUAAUACCGCAUAGGACAUAGGAUCACAUGAUCCAGUGAGGAAAGGUGGCGCAAGCUAUCGCUAAGAGAUGGACCCGCGGUGCAUUAGCUAGUUGGUAGGGUAAAGGCCUACCAAGGCGAUGAUGCAUAGCCGACCUGAGAGGGUGAUCGGCCACAUUGGGACUGAGACACGGCCCAAACUCCUACGGGAGGCAGCAGUAGGGAAUCUUCCGCAAUGGACGCAAGUCUGACGGAGCAACGCCGCGUGAGUGAAGAAGGUCUUCGGAUCGUAAAGCUCUGUUGUCAGAGAAGAACAGCGCAUAGAGUAACUGUUAUGCGUGUGACGGUAGCCAACCAGAAAGCCACGGCUAACUACGUG